rnacentral:rRNA from 1 species
GUCGAACGGUAACAUUUCUAGCUUGCUAGAAGAUGACGAGUGGCGGACGGGUGAGUAAUGCUUGGGAACUUGCCUUCAGGAGGGGGAUAACAGUUGGAAACGACUGCUAAUACCGCAUAAUGUCUCCGGACCAAAGCGGGCUUCGGCUCGCACCUGAAGAGAGGCCCAAGUGAGAUUAGCUAGUUGGUAAGGUAAAGGCUUACCAAGGCAACGAUCUCUAGCUGUUCUGAGAGGAAGAUCAGCCACACUGGGACUGAGACACGGCCCAGACUCCUACGGGAGGCAGCAGUGGGGAAUAUUGCACAAUGGGGGAAACCCUGAUGCAGCCAUGCCGCGUGUGUGAAGAAGGCCUUCGGGUUGCAAAGCACUUUCAGUUGUGAGGAAAAGUUAGUAGUUAAUACCUGCUAGCCGUGACGUUAACAACAGAAGAAGCACCGGCUAACUCCGUGCCAGCAGCCGCGGUAAUACGGAGGGUGCGAGCGUUAAUCGGAAUUACUGGGCGUAAAGCGCACGCAGGCGGUUUGUUAAGCUAGAUGUGAAAGCCCCGGGCUCAACCUGGGAUGGUCAUUUAGAACUGGCAGACUAGAGUCUUGGAGAGGGGAGUGGAAUUCCAGGUGUAGCGGUGAAAUGCGUAGAUAUCUGGAGGAACAUCAGUGGCGAAGGCGACUCCCUGGCCAAAGACUGACGCUCAUGUGCGAAAGUGUGGGUAGCGAACAGGAUUAGAUACCCUGGUAGUCCACACCGUAAACGCUGUCUACUAGCUGUGUGUGUCUUUAAGACGUGCGUAGCGAAGCUAACGCGCUAAGUAGACCGCCUGGGGAGUACGGCCGCAAGGUUAAAACUCAAAUGAAUUGACGGGGGCCCGCACAAGCGGUGAGCAUGUGUUUAAUUCGAUGCAACGCGAGACCUUACCUACACUUGACAUGCUGAGAGUUACUAGAGAUAGUUUCGUGCCUUCGGGACUCAGACACAGUGCUGCAUGCUGUCGUCAGCUCGUGUCGUGAGAUGUGGGUAGUCCGCACGAGCGCACCCUUGUCAUAGCUGCAGCUUAGUGGGCACUCUAAGGAGACUGCGUGACAACCGAGAAGUGACGACGUCAAGUCAUCAUGGCCUUACUGUAGGCUACACACGUGCUCAUGGCAUUACAGGGGAGCGAGACAUGUAUGUGGGAGCGAACCUUAAAAAGAGGCGUACCCCCGAAUUGGAGGUUGCACUCCACUCUCUUGGAAUCGGAACAGCUUAAUUAUCACAGGCGGCCGGAAAUAUACUAGGUGAGU